UAACUACGUGCCAGCAGCCGCGGUAAUACGAGGGGUGCAAGCGUUAAUCGGAAUUACUGGGCGUAAAGCGUUCGUAGGCGGUCUAUUAAGCAAGAUGUGAAAGCCCAGGGCUCAACCUUGGAACUGCAUUUUGAACUGGUAGACUAGAGUACUGUAGAGGGUGGUGGAAUUUCCAAUGUAGCGGUGAAAUGCGUAGAGGUUGGAAGGAACAUCAGUGGCGAAGGCGGCCACCUGGACAGAUACUGACGCUGAGGAACGAAAGCGUGGGGAGCGAACAGGAUUAGAUACCCUGGUAGUCCACGCCGUAAACGAUGUCAACUAGCCGUUUGUGUCCUUGAGACGUGAGUGGCGCAGCUAACGCACUAAGUUGACCGCCUGGGGAGUACGUCCGCAAGGUUAA
rnacentral:rRNA from 1 species